rnacentral:RNase_P_RNA from 1 species
UCAGCCGGCUGGACGGCCGCUCCGGCAAGCACCGAAAGGUCGCCGGGGAGGAAAGUCCGGGCUCCAUGAAGACACGGUGCCGGGUAACGCCCGGCGGGGAAACCCUAGGGAAAGUGCCACAGAAAGCAAACCGCCCCGGAUGCAGGCCUCGAGCCUGUAGGCGGGGUAAGGGUGAAAGGGUGGGGUAAGAGCCCACCGCGUGCCCGGCAACGGGCAUGGCACGGUAAACCCCACCGGGAGCAAAACCGAAUAGGGGCGGCGCGGGGAAACCCGGUCCGUUUUCAGACCAGCCGCCCGGGUUGGUUGCGUGAGGCGUCCGGCAACGGGCGUCCCAGAUGAAUGGCCGUCAGGCGGGGCUUGCCCCGUUCUACAGAACCCGGCUUACAGGCCGGCUGGCAUU